rnacentral:misc_RNA from 1 species
GAUGAAGAACGCAGCGAAAUGCGAUAAGUAAUGUGAAUUGCAGAAUUCAGUGAAUCAUCGAAUCUUUGAACGCACAUUGCGCCCUCUGGUAUUCCGGGGGGCAUGCCUGUUCGAGCGUCAUUAUAACCACUCAAGCUCUCGCUUGGUAUUGGGGCUCGCGGUUCCGCGGCCCCUAAAAUCAGUGGCGGUGCCUGUCGGCUCUACGCGUAGUAAUACUCCUCGCGAUUGAGUCCGGUAGGUCUACUUGCCAGCAACCCCCAAUUUUUACAGGUUGACCUCGGAUCAGGUAGGGAUACCCGCUGAACUUAAGCAUAUCAAUAAUCGGAGGA